GUGGCAUCAUGUAUUGCAUGAGACAAGGACUUUUAAUCCCCGAUAUUAAAAUGGCACGACUUGCUUGCAAAUUUCUAUUGGUGUAGAAAUAUUAAUGGAGAUUAGGGAUUAAUUAACCAUGAUUAGAUUAUUAAGUGGGGAUUAGUGAUUAAAUUAAUGGAUAUAAUUUAAAGGGCUGCAAGCACUACAAGUACACAUGCACGUUGUGCCUUGAACAUUUGAUGAAUACGAAAAAAAAAAAAUUAGGCCAGCCAAGGUAUACGUGUAAAAGGGCAAGGGACCCUUAUGUGGCAAAUGGAGGGGCUGCCUAUAAAUAAUACCUAUUGACUCAUGGAUCAGAUUUUUCCAUUCAUAAAAUUAGUGAAGGAGGAAGAGACCUAUAAACUAGAGAGAGGAGCUCCUAGCCAUGGCAACUCACGGCCAUGGCUAUGGCAGCAACCCUUUGAACGACCAGCCCACUCCAACACAAACAAACCACUAAUUUCAUCUUGACUAGGAGAGGAAAAUCGUGAACAACCAUGACAGCCCCCUUGGGCACUCACGGCCAACUCCAAAAAUGAAAGAGGAAGAGAAUUUGAAUUUCACAAAAGUGUUCUAAGUGUUUUACACGUUCAAAGGAGGCAGCAACAUAGGGAUUUAAGUUGAAGAAGAUGAAGUGGUGCGAAUUGUGCAAACUAUUGUAGGAUCUGUCCUAAUUAAAGUUGAGGCUAAAAGAGCGACGAAGCGAAAAGGAUUCACGAUUAGUCGCUGACAGGUACAGAUACUCGCUUUGGUGAUCCGCCAGCUUAGGAUUCCCUUUCUGCUGUCUUGGAGACCUCCGUUGUUCCGGAGCCUAGAUUUUGGUACCGACUUCCUGAUAUGCAUAUAUAUAUGUUUUUGUCUAUGGGUACGACGGGGCACUGUACCGUCAUAUGUUACUGUUGAUACUCUUAGAGGUCUGUAGACAUGUAUGUGAGUUGUGUGUAGAUGUGGUUAGGUGUGCCUAUAUGGUCAUUAUGGAUGUUCUAGCGCUGUAGCAGCCUUGCCGGCUUGCAUAUAUUAUCGUUCUGUUGUAGCAGCGUUGUCGGCUUGCGUAUUAUUUCAUGAUAUGAUCAGUUGUGACUCCUCAGGAGACAGUGUAUCUGAAUAUACAUAUAUGAUGACGCUAUAAACCUUCAGAGUUCUUUUGUAAAGUCCCAUAUUGUUCGUAGUUUCAGUUUGAC